UUCCCAGCUUGAGCUGAAAAACUGACCACUGUAUACGGAUGUUAAAUGUUUGGAAAUGAGAAAUUCAGAGGACUGUAUAACAGCAUCAGUGUAACAGACCUCCUGUGUAUAUUUGAACCUAUUGGUCAGUGGCUGCUUAAGACCUUCCUAAUGCUGAAGGUCUGAUGUCAUGUUCCAAGUGACUUAUGCAGUCAGCAGUGCAGUUUUGUUUUUCAGACUGAGGAAAUGGGAGGGUGAAUUUGGGAAAUGAAGUUGACAGGAAGCUGACACUGUGCUGAUAAAGUAAAGUAAGGCAAGCUUUGCAGUUGUGCCAUGUUCUGUAGUUUCACUGCUGAAGUGCCUGCAGGCCACCUAUAUGUGAAAAUGGACAAGGAUUUGGAAAAGGCCUCGAGGUGUAUCUGUGCUGGAUAUAGAACUGAGUUAUUUCUGUCAGAUGUAUCCUCCUGGAAAGUGGGUUUGACCUACACUGUUGGACUGAAUGACCACGUCAGCAAGGUGCUGGACAGGGUCACUCACUGGUGGAUGUUUCUGCAGAGAGAGAACUGUUCUCAGCCAUGCAGAUAUUCUCUGAAGAGUUCAGAUACUGUCACCAAGGAGUGGUCCAGUCCACAUCUCAUUAGGAUGAGGAAACUGCCCUGCUUUAGAGGACUGGUGUCAAACUCUCAAGGUCUUUUUUGUUCAGGAGGUCCUCAAGUGCUGUGGAAAAAUAGAAGAGUGUCAAUAACGGAUUUGAACAUGAGCUGCCAACAAGCUGGAUGA
rnacentral:lncRNA from 1 species